AAAGCACACAAAGAGUGGAACCUGCGGCUUAAUUUGACUCAACACGGGAAAACUCACCAGGUCCGGAUACACGUAUGAAAGACAAGCUGAAAGACUUUUCUCAAUGAUGUAAGUGGUGGUGCAUGGUCGUUCUUAGUUCGUGGAGUGAUUUGUCUGGUCUAUUCCGAUAACGAGCGAGACCCCGACGUUCUUAGUAGGAGCUUCUUAGACGUAUCAGGGCCGAUAAGGUCCUUGAAAUGGGUUAAUAACAGGUCAGUCAUGCCCUUAGAUGUUCUGGGCCGCACGCGCGUUACAAUGGCAUGGAAAGAAAGUGCCCGCGGCCUAACGGUCGCGGUAACCCCUAGUCCCUGCCUUGACUGGGACAGUCUUUUGCAAUUAUUGGUCUCGAACGAGGAAUUUUUAGUAGUCGCAGGUCAUUAGCCUGCGACGAAUGCGGUUCCACUCUUUGUACUACCUCUUCCA
rnacentral:rRNA from 1 species